GCGGGGUGCUUAACACAUGCAAGUCGAACGAUGAUCCGGUGCUUGCACCGGGGAUUAGUGGCGAACGGGUGAGUAACACGUGAGUAACCUGCCCUUGACUCUGGGAUAAGCCUGGGAAACUGGGUCUAAUACCGGAUAUGACUCCUCAUCGCAUGGUGGGGGGUGGAAAGCUUUUGCGGUUUUGGAUGGACUCGCGGCCUAUCAGCUUGUUGGUGAGGUAAUGGCUUACCAAGGCGACGACGGGUAGCCGGCCUGAGAGGGUGACCGGCCACACUGGGACUGAGACACGGCCCAGACUCCUACGGGAGGCAGCAGUGGGGAAUAUUGCACAAUGGGCGCAAGCCUGAUGCAGCGACGCCGCGUGAGGGAUGACGGCCUUCGGGUUGUAAACCUCUUUCAGUAGGGAAGAAGCGAAAGUGACGGUACCUGCAGAAGAAGCGCCGGCUAACUACGUGCCAGCAGCCGCGGUAAUACGUAGGGCGCAAGCGUUAUCCGGAAUUAUUGGGCGUAAAGAGCUCGUAGGCGGUUUGUCGCGUCUGCCGUGAAAGUCCGGGGCUCAACUCCGGAUCUGCGGUGGGUACGGGCAGACUAGAGUGAUGUAGGGGAGACUGGAAUUCCUGGUGUAGCGGUGAAAUGCGCAGAUAUCAGGAGGAACACCGAUGGCGAAGGCAGGUCUCUGGGCAUUAACUGACGCUGAGGAGCGAAAGCAUGGGGAGCGAACAGGAUUAGAUACCCUGGUAGUCCAUGCCGUAAACGUUGGGCACUAGGUGUGGGGGGACAUUCCACGUUUUCCGCGCCGUACUAACGCAUUAAGUGCCCCCGCCUGGGGGAGUACGGGCC
rnacentral:rRNA from 1 species